rnacentral:misc_RNA from 1 species
GAAAUGCGAUAAGUAAUGUGAAUUGCAGAAUCCAGUGAAUCAUCGAAUCUUUGAACGCACAUUGCGCCCGCCAGUAUUCUGGCGGGCAUGCCUGUUCGAGCGUCAUUACAACCCUCAGGCCCCCGGGCCUGGCGUUGGGGAUCGGCGGAAGCCCCCUGCGGGCACAACGCCGUCCCCCAAAUACAGUGGCGGUCCCGCCGCAGCUUCCAUUGCGUAGUAGCUAACACCUCGCAACUGGAGAGCGGCGCGGCCACGCCGUAAAACACCCAACUUCUGAAUGUUGACCUCGAAUCAGGUAGGAAUACCCGCUGAACUUAAGC